rnacentral:rRNA from 1 species
AGCGAACGCUGGCGGCAGGCCUAACACAUGCAAGUCGAACGGAUCCUUCGGGAUUAGUGGCGGACGGGUGAGUAACACGUGGGAACGUGCCUUUUGGUUCGGAAUAGCUCCUGGAAACGGGUGGUAAUGCCGAAUGUGCCCUUCGGGGGAAAGAUUUAUCGCCAUUAGAGCGGCCCGCGUCUGAUUAGCUAGUUGGUGAGGUAAAGGCUCACCAAGGCUACGAUCAGUAGCUGGUCUGAGAGGAUGACCAGCCACAUUGGGACUGAGACACGGCCCAAACUCCUACGGGAGGCAGCAGUGGGGAAUCUUGCGCAAUGGGCGAAAGCCUGACGCAGCCAUGCCGCGUGAAUGAUGAAGGUCUUAGGAUUGUAAAAUUCUUUCACCGGGGACGAUAAUGACGGUACCCGGAGAAGAAGCCCCGGCUAACUUCGUGCCAGCAGCCGCGGUAAUACGAAGGGGGCUAGCGUUGCUCGGAAUUACUGGGCGUAAAGGGAGCGUAGGCGGACAUUUAAGUCAGGGGUGAAAUCCCAGAGCUCAACUCUGGAACUGCCUUUGAUACUGGGGGUCUUGAGUGUGAGAGAGGUAUGUGGAACUCCGAGUGUAGAGGUGAAAUUCGUAGAUAUUCGGAAGAACACC